CCCAAGGUGAGUGUAUCCGGAGACAGGACCUCUAAGGCAGCCGCGACAGUUAAAUGAGAUCCUAAAGGAUUUCCACUUACGUGACUGUGGAGAUGGCUGUGCUACCCUCAGAACUGAGGAUUACAGGAGGGGCUGAAAGCUGAGUGCCAGGGAACGACAGAGGUAGGAGGGGAUAAGAAACUCCCUUGGGAAAGUCAUGGCUCUGAAGUGCUGUGAGUCACCAGAGAAAAGGCCUCAUCUGGAAUUCAGAAAGGGACUCAAUCUUGGAGGAAGGGGCAUGAGAGUCAUCCCUUCAUAGAGCGAAACAAGAACCACACUCAUGAAUGAGGUUUCCCAGGAGAGCACAUCUCAAAGGAGAAGGGGGGGGGGGCCCACACCCCGAGGACAUGAGAGGUUUCAGGCAUCCGGUGGGGGUCUUCCCGAUUGUUCUGUGAAGGAGAGAUAUCCGCAAAAUGACCUCUAAAGACUGAAUAAACCAUAAGACAGAAGAAAAAAGCUGGGAGAUCAUAUUCGCAAGACUUCCUUGUAAUUAACUUGGGACCACAUGAACAGUUCUAUCUAAUGUGAAGUGGAAGAAAAUGAUGAAAACCACUUUCCCCUUCACGUUCAUAUCUCUUCUGGGAAUAUUAUGUAGCUCUCUCUUGCGUUUUGGCUGUGAUCUGAAGUCAUGCACCCAAGAUAGUGGUAGCACAAGAUGGAAGCAUCCUCAAUCUCCAAACCCCCACAUCUAGGAAAGCAGCAAGAAACAUCAUUGAUGAUGCGUGUUACAACACCUACUAUUCUAUAAAAUAGAUCAUUGAUCCCUUUCCCCCACUGUCACCAUUUCCAUUCGAUCUACACUUUUCUCUCCUUUCUAAAGCAUCCUCCACACAGAUCAGAGUCACGUCACAGGUGUGAUGGUGUUCUCUAUAAACAUUCCAUAAAUUUUAGCUAUG